UGCGCUGCAAUAUCCCAUAGGAUAUUAUUCCCAUAGGAUCUGUACCGGAAGAGUCUUCGUUCGAGUCGGUCGUUCAUCCAGUGAAACGGGAUGAACGAACGACUCGAACCCGAAGACUCGAGAGAUGAACUAAUAAUUUCUAUUUCCGGGGAACAGACGUGAUAAAUGUGAGGUGAGAAAAGAAAGAACGACUCGGAUCAGGAGGGAGGAACUCAACAGCCACAUUACAGCACAGCAAUGAAUGGUUUGUGGGGAGCCCCUGUUGAAGAUAUAAAGGACUUACAGAUGUUGGCCUUAACCUGUCAGCCUGCACAUACGUCUACUACGGUCCUACCUACACCACACCAUACUUCUCUGUGCCUUGUCUGGAUGGCUGAUUAGCACCAAGUUCUCUUCAGAAUUAGAUGUAUUGAAACAUAUAUAUAUUAAAAAAAGAUAAAAGGGACAUAAGCAACUGAAUAUUGCAAGAGCAAAGAACUUGCCUUACUUCAGAAAUAAAUGUUAAUUGCAAAGGAAAACUGUUUAUCCACUAUAUUUCUCUGUGCUCUAUCUUCAAGGGUAAAAUUUCUUUAUGACGUGCCUACUGUGUGAGGUAUAGUUUAAAAAUCCGGUCAACUACUAAUACUAAUGUUGUCCACAAUUGUAUCUCUUUCUUUUAUGGAACACAAAGGGAGACAGUAUAUAUGCUCACUCACCAUUUAUUUAUUUUUAAAGAUGCAGCGAUAGAGGAUUGUGACUGAGGGUAUCAGUCUCUUCUGUUGUUCUGACUUGCAUCUCCUUUUGUGUUCCACUGAAGAGAAGUCAUACAGGUUCAAUUCAACUCGGUGUUUUUGUAGCGUGGACAUCGUUACAAAUGUCAUUUGCAAAGUAAGCCAGGUUGAAUUUAGACUUAAUCUCAUGUUAUACCUGUGAAAUUUGACAAACAUUUCAGUAAAGUGUUAGUGUAUAUAGUU